UUUAUGGAGAGUUUGAUCCUGGCUCAGGAUGAACGCUGGCGGCGUGCCUAAUACAUGCAAGUCGAGCGAACAGAUAAGGAGCUUGCUCCUUUGACGUUAGCGGCGGACGGGUGAGUAACACGUGGGUAACCUACCUAUAAGACUGGAAUAACUCCGGGAAACCGGGGCUAAUGCCGGAUAACAUGUUGAACCGCAUGGUUCUACAGUGAAAGACGGUCUUGCUGUCACUUAUAGAUGGACCCG
rnacentral:rRNA from 1 species